AGCCUAUUCUAGCCCAACCCCACAAUAUGACCAAACCGUUAAAAACUCACUAUCUAUCUACCAAACCAAACCAUUCACUUCAACUUAGUAUAGGCGAUAGAAAAGACCCUCCCUGGCGCAAUAGAAAUUCGUACCGUAAGGGAAAACUGAAAUAAUAAUGAAAAAUAAAGCAAUAGAAAGCAAAGAUAAACCCUUGUACCUUUUGCAUCAUGAUUUAGCAAGAACAACCAAGCAAAGCGGACUUGAGCUUGCCCUCCCGAAACUCAAGCGAGCUACUCGCAAGCAGUUAUUUAAUGAACGAACCCGUCUCUGUCGCAAAAGAGUGGGACGACUUGCUAGUAGAGGUGAAAAGCCAAUCGAGCUGAGUGAUAGCUGGUUGCCUGCGAAACGAAUCAAAGUUCUUUCUUGACCUUUCCCCCCAGGAAUCUAAUUUAACCUUAAUGUGGCAAAUCAAGAUUAAUUUAAAGGGGGUACAGCCCCUUUAAAAAAGAAUACAACCUUUAUUAGAGGAUAACUUCCCACUACCCCUAAAACCCUGUAGGCCCUCAAGCAGCCAUCAAUAAAGAAUGCGUCACAGCUCUUCACGUAAAAAUACAACAAUAAAAUGACUCCCUUUUUAUUAGCAGGCUAACCUAUAAUAAUAGGAGAAUUAAUGCUAAAAUGAGUAACCGGGGGCCUCCCCUCUCAAGCGCAAACUUACAUUUCCUAUAAUUAACAGACCAAACCAAUACCCUUAACCUCAACAAGCUUAAAAUAUUCACUCACACUGUUACCCCAACUUCAGGAGCGCGAAAUCAGAAAGAUUAAAAUCUGUAAAAGGAACUAGGCAAACCCAGGGCCCGACUGUUUACCAAAAACAUAGCCUUCAGCCAACCAAGUAUUGAAGGUGAUGCCUGCCCAGUGACAAUCGUUUAACGGCCGCGGUAUCCUAACCGUGCAAAGGUAGCGCAAUCAAUUGUCUCAUAAAUCGAGACUUGUAUGAACGGCUAAACGAGGUCCUAACUGUCUCUUACAGAUAAUCAGUGAAAUUGAUCUUCCUGUGCAAAAGCAGGAAUAUACUCAUAAGACGAGAAGACCCUGUGGAACUUAAAAAUCAAAAGCCAUUACACAUAUAUCAACAAACCUAUUAGGCCCACUACCACAAACACUGGCUUAUAUUUUUCGGUUGGGGCGACCUUGGAGAAAAAAAAAUCCUCCAAAAACAAGACCUUCCCUCUUAACGAAGAAUAACCCUUCAACGUGCUAAUAGCAACCAGACCCAAUAUAAUUGACCAAUGGACCAAGCUACCCCAGGGAUAACAGCGCAAUCCCCUUCAAGAGCCCACAUCGACAAGGGGGUUUACGACCUCGAUGUUGGAUCAGGACAUCCUAAUGGUGCAGCCGCUAUUAAGGGUUCGUUUGUUCAACGAUUAACAGUCCUACGUGAUCUGAGUUCAGACCGGAGUAAUCCAGGUCGGUUUCUAUCUAUGACAGACUUUUCCCAGUACGAAAGGACCGGAAAAGUAGGGCCCCUGCCACAAGCAUGCCCUCUCUUUAAGUAGUGAACUCAACUAAACUACCAAAGGACACCCUCCCCUAACCUAAUCCUAGAAAAGGACUA
rnacentral:rRNA from 1 species